GAUGUGCCUGUAGCUCAGUGGCAGAGCGCCUGUUUCGUAUGCUGAAGGUCACAGGUUCGAUCCCCAAUGGCAUCU